rnacentral:rRNA from 1 species
AUUGAACGCCGGCGGCAUGCUUAACACAUGCAAGUCGAACGGUAGCAUGACCUAGCUUGCUAGGUUGAUGACGAGUGGCGAACGGGUGAGUAACGCGUAGGAACAUGCCUUAAAGAGGGGGACAACUUGGGGAAACUCAAGCUAAUACCGCAUAAUAUCCGAGGAUAAAAGCUGGGGACCUUCGGGCCUGGCGCUUUAAG